rnacentral:rRNA from 1 species
GUGUCAGCCGCCGCGGUAAUACGGAGGGUGCGAGCGUUAAUCGGAAUUACUGGGCGUAAAGCGCAUGCAGGUGGCUUGUUAAGCCAGAUGUGAAAGCCCGGGGCUUAACCUCGGAAUAGCAUUUGGAACUGGCGAGCUAGAGUACUGUAGAGGGGGGUAGAAUUUCAGGUGUAGCGGUGAAAUGCGUAGAGAUCUGAAGGAAUACCGGUGGCGAAGGCGGCCCCCUGGACAGAUACUGACACUCAGAUGCGAAAGCGUGGGGAGCAUACAGGAUUAGA